GUGCCAGUCCAUACCCAGUGCUCCCGGCUCAGAGAGCAUGCAGUGAGCCAAAUGGACCAAAACCCUCCCUUGUGUUUGCAGCAGAAAUGUAUCCGUGUUUUCAGCAAAUAAUGGUACUGCAUAGGAAGACAUAGCUAAGUGGACCUGGAGCCCCCGGAGAGACCCUGUCCUCUCUUCAUCUCACUGACAGACAUCCCCACAGUGGGGGGUACCCAGCCAUUAAGCAGCCUGUUAAAAAAUUCUGCCUGCCAUGAUAACAAUAAGAAGAAAGGGAAAAAUUGCCUAAGAUUCAUGCGAUGGAUGAAAAUGUCCUUGUGUCUGUCAAGCUGCAGUGAAGAAAACGCCUCAGAGCCAAAAAGAGAAAAGGAGAGGGCAAGGAUGCCACGCCAGCAGUGACACUUCUGAUGAAAGGAACAUUGAGCUGACCCAGGGAGCGGUGGCAGAUUCCUGGAACUGGCUGCAGCUCCUGUGCCACUGUGAACUUUACAGAUUGGGAUUUGCUACCCUAAAAGGAGAAAAUGGCAGAAUGCUGGAGGAGAGCGCAGUGCUGUGCCCAUCGCCACCGGGGAGAAAAGGCAGGCUCAGCAUGGUCCUAACACAGCUUUCAUGCCGUGCUUCCUGCAUUCUUACUUUUCUCCUUUCUUCCUUGGGGAGGACUCUUUACAUUAGGUAUGUCAGUGUUAGAAACAAAACAUGAAGUUUCAUCUGACACUAAAAUUACCUUUCUUCAGGGAACAGUGUACUUGUAAACAAGAACAUCUUGAGGCAUAACACAAGUGCAUCUUGUUAAAUGUAUCAGCUAAUAAAGCAAGCAUGCCAAAUUUACUACUGUGACUAGCAAAGACAAGGGGAUUUUUUUGUGCUUAGGUAGUAACUUGCUUUAAAAGGAGAGCGAAUUGCAUUUCUUGGAAGGGAAAGCUGAGGUACAGCCAGAAUUCCAGCCAGAUGAUGAUUCCUGUUGUUAUUUCACCGAGUCAGACACUUAGCUUCAUUUUUUCGUUUUGUUGAGAAGUUAGGAAACUCACCAGUCCUUUUAUUUGUUUAUUUUCUGACUUACUCUUGGACAAUAUGUAAUGAUGGGCAAACAUUCUAGAACAUAAUAAGGAUCCUUCAUAAGAGGAAGUAAAGCGUAAAUUUCUGAGUUACUAGCAGCAAUUUUUCAGCAAUGUGGAAUUGAAAUAAUCUUUUAUAUCACACCUGUGGCUACUGAUUUCAUGGCGUCUUCAUCAUGGUCACAGCCUACGAUUUCAUGCUUUGAUUUGACUUUUAUAGAAUAUAAUAAAAUGAAGCCUUCGGGGUAAGUAACAAGCAUCCAAAAUUGCACACAUACAAAAAAGUACUCCUUGAGUACAGUAUCCAGCAGCUCUGAGGAUCCUAUGGCCAAUGAGGUAGAAUUUGAGGCUGAGAUUAUAGAUCAACACAAGUUCCUGAACAUCUUGCAAAAUAUCCUAUACUUCUGAUAUCAAACAAAACUGUUAAAAAUUUCAGCUACAUUUACUGUUACUUUAUAUAUAUUAUUUUUAGUUCCUCAUUCUAAUAUUCGACACUAGGAAUACUAAAGGUAUCCUAUUUAUGCAAUGUUUUAUAAGACACAUUGAAAGGUUUUAAGGAUAAAUAAUAAUGAAAUAACCUCUAAUGCAUCACUUAUGCAUUAGAGAACAAUACUCUGUUGUCUCACUAGAUAAAGUGAAAUGUGUAUUAGGAAAAGUGUUUUAUCUGAUAAAUAAGCUAUGCACUUAUGCUUUAAAUAUCAGAGGUGGGAUUUUUGUAUUGAUGAGAUUGUGGCAUAAAAUAAA